ensembl:lncRNA
CUGUGAUGCUUCUAAAUCUCACUCACCAGGAUGCUCCUGCAGCAAGGAGGUCAGGCCUUCCAGAGGGCUGCCUGGGGCUUAAGUCGACGGUGGACUUCAUCACCACUACUUUACGGUACAUGCAGGUGCUGAACACCUUGACUUUUGGACACCGGUUUACUCAAGGCCGUCGAGGUUGAAAUGCACCUGUCUUAGCUGGAUGGUGGUGGCACAUGCUUUAGUCAGGAGGAAGAAGACAGGGAUCUCAGUUCUGGGAUAUCCUGGUCUACAGAGCUGUAGAUGUCCCGCUCUUGUCUUGCACCCCAGCCAAAUCCCAUUACCGACCUGAGGGCCAGGAACAGCAGUGUGUCUAUGCAACUUCCUCCAGGGACAUUUCCGGGCAGCCCAGGCCAUCUUCAGUGUUCCAUGAAUCCCAGUUUAAGAAAGAGCACGUGCGACCUGCCUGACUGGAAUUUGUGUGCAAGAAGAGACGGGGACAGAGACACAGACAGAACCUCACAGUGCAUGGACGUCAAGGAGUCAUCAGGAUGCGAGGCCAGAUCUCCAACCCAGGCUGGCCAGAGUCUCCGGGAAGUCCUCGUUGGUUUUGUCUGAUUAGCUAGCCUGUUCCAGAGGCUGAAG